rnacentral:rRNA from 1 species
GAUGAACGCUGGCGGCGUGCUUAACACAUGCAAGUCGAACGGAAAGGCCUCUGCUUGCAGGGGUACUCGAGUGGCGAACGGGUGAGUAACACGUGGGUGAUCUGCCCUGCACUUCGGGAUAAGCCUGGGAAACUGGGUCUAAUACCGGAUAGGACAAUGGUUUGGAUGCUGUUGUGGAAAGUUUUUCGGUGUGGGAUGAGCUCGCGGCCUAUCAGCUUGUUGGUGGGGUAAUGGCCUACCAAGGCGUCGACGGGUAGCCGGCCUGAGAGGGUGUACGGCCACAUGGGGACUGAGGUACGACCCAGACUCCUACGGGAGGCAGGAGUGGGGAAUAUUGCACAAUGGGCGCAAGCCUGAUGCAGCGACGCCGCGUGGGGGAUGACGGCCUUCGGGUUGUAAACUCCUUUCGCUAGGGACGAAGCGUUUUUGUGACGGUACCUGGAGAAGAAGCACCGGCUAACUACGUG